rnacentral:tRNA from 1 species
GGGCGGGUGGUGGAAUUGGUAUACACGCAGGACUUAAAAUCCUGUGGCCGUAAGGUCGUGAGGGUUCAAUUCCCUCCUCGCCCA